UAGAAUGUGGGUACUUGUAGUAUAUUUGCAUUAUUUACAUGUACUUAAAAAGCUGCUAGGAAGCAGGAGCAGUUCUUGAGGUAGUCAGGGCCUUGUUUUAGGAGAGGUGGAGCUCAUUGAGGAAUUGAGUGGUAUUGAUCAGAAACUGGGAGCCUUUUCCAGAGCGCUAUAGAUGGUUAGCUGACGUGAAAUCUCUGGGUAAUACUUCAUCGUGGGUUAGGGUCUCAGCAGUAGCAGAGCACUUUGGCAUGGCCUAGAAAGCUGUAGUAACUUGACAACUUCUUGCCAAGUAGGCUGAGGUCUGCUUUAAAAUCAAGUGAUGUGUGAAUUUUUGUUUUCUAACAAUUAUCAGUGCCCAAUACUAAAAUAAUUGCAGCUGGUUAUGGAUGAUCUCUUGGGGUGCAGUUAUAACAAUAUAGGACGUUCUGGGGAAAUAUGUUCUGCUAGGACAAGUUGCGUACAACCAUUUAACUGCUCAGUUGCAUAUAAAAGAGGCUAUGUACUGCUAAGCAAUUCCAGUUCUAGGUUCUGGAUCAGAGUUCUGUCAUGGCUACCAUUGCCAUUUUAUGUGUCCACACGUCAGUGACGGUUCUAGAUGGUGACAGACUUGUUAGAGUUAAGAUUCUGGUCUGUGCAAAAACAGGACUUGCCUUAUGCUUUAAAACAAGCGAUACCUUAAGUACGCUUAGUUCUUGUUGCAAGGAGUUGCAUAUUUGGCACUGAAAAUGCCCUGUUCCUUUUAAACUCACAAUUAAAUGUGAGGCAGAAUUUGUUUUCUACUUCUUCGGUUUUUUUGUUUGGGGUACAAGUGGUGGCCAUGUGCAACUUCUUCCAAGGAUAGUAUUACCAAUUCACAAUAUUGUUUCAAGUCUUGCAAUAGAUUGUUGGCUUUGGAGUCACUCAGCAGAUAAGUCUAAAAUCUUUAUUAAGGCAAACGCUCAGCAAGUAGCAGCCCAUUACAAAUGGGAAGCUCAGUGGGAUGACCUGAUCAGUUGUUUCCAGCACUAGACUAUAUACAGCUUUAAACUACCUUUUUGUUACAUAAACUUGUUCUCUUA